AAUGCAGGUCGGGCAGCCGCGUUCCGUUACGCUUGUCGCACCGGGAUGAGGAAAGUCCGAACUCCAGAGAGCAAGGUGCCCCGUGAACAGCGGGGGCUCUGCGGACGAAAGUCUGCAGUGACGGAAAGUGUCACAGAAAACAUACCGUCUGGCCGCCUUUUGGCGGCCGUGAUAAGGGUGAAAAGGCGAGGUAAGAGCUCACCGCUUCGACAGUAAUGUCGGAGGCACGACAAACCCCACCUGGAGCAAGACCAAAUAAGGGAGGAGAAGUUGCUCGCUUCACCUCUGCGUCCUGCUUUUGCACUCGCAGAGAGACUCCCGGGUAGGUCGCUUGAGCCGAGGAGCAAUCCGAGGCCCAGAUAAAUGGCUGCCUCCUCCGCAUUUCGCGGAGCAGACAGAAUUCGGCUUACAGACCUGCAGUGCUU
rnacentral:RNase_P_RNA from 1 species